AGUAAGCUCUUGAAACUGGGAGACUUGAGUGCAGGAGAGGAGAGUGGAAUUCCUAGUGUAGCGGUGAAAUGCGUAGAUAUUAGGAGGAACACCAGUUGCGAAGGCGGCUCUCUGGACUGUAACUGACGCUGAGGCACGAAAGCGUGGGGAGCAAACAGGAUUAGAUCCCCUGGUAGUCCACGCUGUAAACGAUGAGUACUAGGUGUCGGGGGUUACCCCCUUCGGUGCCGCAGCUAACGCAUUAAGUACUCCGCCUGGGAAGU
rnacentral:rRNA from 1 species